ensembl:lncRNA
CCCCGAGCCCACGCAGGCCCUGGCCUGCUGGCGGCGGAGACGUGGCACCGGUUCGUGGCCGUAUCCGCUUGAGGUUCCUGGAGACGCCCGCCCCGGGGGAGAGCAGCGCGAGGCACUACCCUGCGGGGAAUAGGGAACACGGCGGCUGGCAAGGAACGACGAAAGGAUCAGUAAAGAGGAUGGACUUGUUAGCAAAGCAAAUAGCCUAUUUUGGAAGAUGCUUAUGCACCAGUUGCCAGGAAGAAAUUUUGAAGGUCAAUAUUUUCCCAGCCCAACCUUGAACAAGCUCACCCACCCACUGCAACAAAGAGCCUUUGUAACCAUCAGUCAAAAGACACUGAUACAGAAGAACUUUGUCUGACCCCCAACUCUACAGAGCUUUACCACAGCUGGACCUUUGGGGAUAAGGGCUGGAGGAGAAGAAAAUAAAUGAUCUAUGAAAGAAACAGGACAUCUGGGUCUCAUUCAAACAUCUGAGGAAAUGGAAAAGAUUUUCUUUCCUAAAUGAAAGUUCUGAACUAACUGAAUUGAAAAAAAAAAAA